UACACUCCUACGGGAGGCAGCAGUGGGGAAUAUUGGACAAUGGGCGCAAGCCUGAUCCAGCCAUGCCGCGUGAGUGAUGAAGGCCCUAGGGUUGUAAAGCUCUUUCACCGGUGAAGAUAAUGACGGUAACCGGAGAAGAAGCCCCGGCUGACUUCGUGCCAGCAGCCGCGGUAAUACGAAGGGGGCUAGCGUUGUUCGGAUUUACUGGGCGUAAAGCGCACGUAGGCGGACUAUUAAGUCAGGGGUGAAAUCCCGGGGCUCAACCCCGGAACUGCCUUUGAUACUGGUAGUCUUGAGUUCGAGAGAGGUGAGUGGAAUUCCGAGUGUAGAGGUGAAAUUCGUAGAUAUUCGGAGGAACACCAGUGGCGAAGGCGGCUCACUGGCUCGAUACUGACGCUGAGGUGCGAAAGCGUGGGGAGCAAACAGGAUUAGAAACCCCAGUAGUCCCAUG
rnacentral:rRNA from 1 species